rnacentral:rRNA from 1 species
GGUGAUCGGGACUAAGCACGUCACCGAAGUCGUGGAUUCAUAAUUUUUAAUUAUGAGUGGUAGGAGAGCGUUCCGUAGGCCUGGGAAGGCGGGUGGUGAUGCCCGCUGGAGGUAUCGGAAAUGAGAAUGCUGGCAUGAGUAUGCGAAAAUGCAGGUGAAAAACCUGCACACCGUAAGUCUAAGGUUUCCUGGGUAAAGCUAAUCUUCCCAGGGUUAGUCGGGUCCUAAGGCGAGGCCGAGAGGCGUAGUCGAUGGCAAUCGGGUUAAUAAUCCCGAACCGCAAAUAACGCGUUAUUACCGAUGGGGUGACGCAUGGAGCAGAAUUUAGCCACUGAUGGAUGUGGCGGAUUGCGCGUAAGAUGUACAGGUGGCAAAUCCCCUGUACGCAUAUCUGAGACGCAGGACCUUUUGAGGGCUUCGGCCCAAAGAAGAGUAAUUCCGGUCUGUGCCAGGAAAAACCUCUAAGGGAGUUUUAUUUGUGCCCGUACCGUAAACCGACACAGGUAGACGAGGCGAAUAGCCUAAGGUGCUCGAGACAACUCGGGAGAAGGAACUCGGCAAAUUAACCCCGUAACUUCGGGAUAAGGGGAGCCUCCAUUUGUUAGUGUGAACAGCACAAAGCAUAAGGAGGCCGCAGAGAAAUGGCAGAAGCGACUGUUUACCAAAAACACAGGGCUAUGCAAACCCGUAAGGGAAAGUAUAUAGUCUGACACGUGCCCGGUGCUGGAAGGUUAACAGGAGAUGUCAGCGCAAGCGAAGCAUUGAAUCGAAGCCCCAGUAAACGGCGGCCGUAACAAUAACGGUCCUAAGGUAGCGAAAUUCCUUGUCGGGUAAGUUCCGACCUGCACGAAUCGUGUAACGACUUCUGCACUGUCUCCUCCCGGGACUCGGCGAAAUUGCAGUGUCGGUGAAGAUGCCGACAACCCGCACCUGGACGGAAAGACCCCAUGAACCUUCACUGUAUUUUGACAUUGGUUUUAGGCUUGACAUGUGUAGGAUAGGUGGGAGGCUUUGAAGCGGUGACGCCAGUCAUCGUGGAGCCAUCCUUGAAAUACCACCCUUGUCCGGUUUGAGAUCUAACCGUGGCCCGUCAUCCGGGUCCGGGACCGUGUCUGAUGGUCAGUUUGACUGGGGCGGUCGCCUCCUAAAUGGUAACGGAGGCAUCCAAUGGUUCCCUCAGCGCGGUCGGUAAUCGCGCGUAGAGCAUAAAGGCAUAAGGGAGCUUGACUGCGAGACAGACAUGUCGAGCAGGUACGAAAGUAGGGCUUAGUGAUCCCGCGGUACAGCGUGGAACGGCCGUUGCUCAAUGGAUAAAAGGUACUCUGGGGAUAACAGGCUGAUCUCCCCCAACC